GGUCCCUGGACCAACGAACCUCUCAAGUUCGACAACACCUAUUUCGUGGAAUUACUGAAAGGGGAAUCAGAGGGGCUCCUGAAGCUUCCCACUGACAAGGCCUUGGUAGAGGAUCCUGAGUUUAGGCCAUUUGUCGAGCUGUAUGCCGAGGAUGAGGACGCCUUUUUCAAGGACUAUGCUGAAUCACAUAAGAAACUCUCCGAGCUGGGCUUUACUCCGCGACACGCCAGUUCAGCCGCCAAAUCGGAAGUCGCAACAGGCACCAUAUUAGCUCACAGCGCUGUUGGAGUCGCUGUUGCUGCUGCGGUGAUUGUCGUCAGUUACUUAUACGAGUCACGUAAGAUAAUGUAAAUUGAGGCCCUCGGUGGUUUUUGUCCUGCAUUCUUGCAAAGUUUGGCUUAUUAUGUGAUGAAAUAAGUGUAGUUUCUAUAUCAGCAAAUGGAAAACCUCAUAAAUAAGCGAACAGUUGGUUAUAAGAUGUUGCGU
rnacentral:misc_RNA from 1 species